rfam:Daucus carota subsp. sativus cultivar DH1 chromosome 5, whole genome shotgun sequence.
AUGAUGUGUUUAAUUGACAGAGUUGAAUGCUCUUACAAUGAUUUGAGUAUUGUGAUUCUCACUCAGUAUAGGAAGAUCUGAUGC